GGUGCAUUUCCCUUCACAGAGAUUGGAAAUCUUGAAGGGCAUCAGAUCUUUCAGUACAUAAACUCUACCAAGUAAGCAUUAUCAAUAUUUACAUAAACUCUACCAAGUAUGAAGUUAGUCUAACAAUGACAGUAAAUGAAAAAUGCAUUGACAAUUUUUAGGUUGCAGUCAAAAUUGCAGAAACAAUUACACCGUGGUUAUUGAAAUGACACAAAAUUGUGGACAAAUGCAGUCAGGAUGUAGUUGCGUGGACCUGGAUUAUCCAGUUAAUGACUGGCAUUUGUUAAUGCGUGUAACUGCGUCUUUUUUCAAAUGUAGGGAAUCCAGAUCUGUAGUUGCAAAGAGCCAGACACUUCCAAACCUACACUUUCUUGGACCAAAAUUUAAACUAUUUGAAUGCUAAAUGCCACUUUAUUUCAUAGUGGCUAUCUAAGCAGUUGUAUUUGAAGAAAAAUAAUAAUAAAAUAAAUUAAUUUAUAAAAAGUAACAUUUUAUGUUUGACUUGGUUGGAAAAAGUAAAAAAAAUUAUAUACUAGCUAUAUGCUCUCAGUCUGUCAUUUUUCUGUUACAGGAAACCAACUGCAACAAUUCUUCCAACAAUAGAAAUUCCUAGAUAUAGGCCUGCACCAAUUGUGGCAUCAUUCUCAUCUAGAGGCCCUUCAAGCCUAACAGAAAACAUUCUCAAGGUAAUUUUCUACUAUGUGUUCCAUCAUGCAUUUCAUUUAUUUAUCCAUGUAUCAAGAAUUACAUAAGGAUCUUAAGAACAGUGAACUAACUAUUUUUGCUAAUCUAUUGUCAAGCCUGAUGUCAUGGCUCCAGGAGUUGCCAUUUUGGCUGCCAUGAUUCCCAAUAGUGAUGAGCCAGGAAGUGUUCCAAUUGGGAAAAAGGCAUCCUUAUUUGGCAUAAAAUCUGGUACAUCUAUGGCUUGCCCACAUGUGACUGGAGCUGCAGCAUUCAUCAAAUCAAUACAUGGAAGAUGGACUCCUUCCAUGAUCAAAUCAGCAUUAAUGACAACAGGUACUCAAAGACGAAAACCUUUUUCUAAUCUUUUAAUUAAUGUAGCACCAAGACUUCAGAUUGAAAACAUGUAUGGUGUCCCACAUGUGUCAAUAUCCGGCGCUGACACAUAUGUUUACAUUCAUUUACUUCUAUUUUCUCAAUUUUUAUUAUUGGUGUCAACAUGUCAGUGUCGUGUCAGAUAUGUGUUUGUGUCAAUGUUUCAUAUACUUAUAUUGUUUUGUUGUUGUGUAAUUCUUCAGCUACAACCUACAAUAACAUGAGGAAGCCAGUGACCAAUAGCUCAAAUUACUUUGCCAACCCACAUGAAAUGGGAGUUGGAGAAAUUAAUCCACUCAAAGCUCUCAACCCUGGAUUAGUCUUUGAAACAAAUCUAGAAGACUACGUCAGAUUCCUUUGUUAUUACGGCUAUUCAAAUAAAAUCAUAAGGUCCGUGUGUAAGAGCAAUGUCACUUGCCCAAGGACCUCUCCAGACCUUAUAUCAAACAUCAACUACCCAUCAAUCUCCAUAGGAACACUAAAAAGGAAUCAGAAUACAAAAGUGAUCACAAGAACAGUUACUAAUGUGGGAACAUUUAAUGCCACAUAUGUUGCAAAGGUGCAUGCACCUGAAGGAUUGGUUGUUAAGGUCAUACCCAAUAAACUUGUGUUUUCAGAGAGUGUUCAAAGAAUUACCUAUAAAGUCUCAUUCUCAGGAAACAAGGCUCGCGGUGGAUACAAUUUUGGGUCGCUAACAUGGCUUGAUGGUCGACAUUACGUUCGUACACUAUUUGCAGUCAAAGUUGAAUAAAUUUUUUCACACGCACAUACAUAUUCAAAUAGAUAUCAUAAUUAUACGUGCAGCUCCUAGGAUCACAGCUUUUAUUGCAUCAACAGCUUCUUCCUCUAUAAGAUCUGCUGCGGAUGAUAUAACUGCUCCUAUGGAUCAAUAGAAUAGAACACAGGUAAGGACGAAUGCGAGAGAAUGAGACUCGUGCGCUCCUGCACUAUACGGCUUUUUGGCAUCGCCAUACCUGAUUGUGUAACAUUUUGGCUAACUUUAUGUUGUAUAUGGAAAUGGACUCUUUCCAUUUACCAGACUCCAUAAUUCAAAUAUAUAUAUUUGUCAAUGAGACAUAGUCUUGGCUGCCAAUUCUCUUGAUCUAUUUCACAUUAACGACGAGGCCACAAACAAUAAUGUUAUUGUCUCAGAGUAAAAGAUUUUCUAAAAUAAGAUCAAACACAAUCCUAGAAUGUUCUCAUGCGCACAAACAGUCAACACCGUCCAACAAAACACAUCAUCUUUGUCAGACAUUUCAUCAAACAGCAGAGAGAGUGAAUGCAUUGGUUUAAAUAAGUAACAGUCAAUCACAUCAAAUUAGUUUAACACAUUACUUAUAAGCUAGAUCAUGCUGCAAUGCUAACACACUCAACAAAGCAAUGUGAAUCUAGUUAUGAACACACACCAGAUGCAUAAUAACAUAAACAUACUCAACAAUGUGAAGUAGGCAUGGAUUCCACUUAGCAUAGAUUAAGGAGACAACGUCAAAUUCUACCACUUCUAAAAUUAUAUAUAAAUCAAAAUUCUAAGAUGAAUUUUAUUGAUAUCAAAAGGAAGAAAAUCGACCUAACAAAUGAAGAAUGACAAACCUAACAAUCCAAGAAUCUAGAGUGUUUAUGAUUCAUAAACAUAAACUGGUUCGAAACCAAUUUAAUAAAAGAGAGGGUGAUAGGUGGUGGUUAAGUGGCCGCCGGUGGUGGUCCACGGUUGAGCUCCGGCGACGCGAACGGCGGACCUCCGGUGAUUUCAAGGCGGUUCGAUUUAAAUUUCUGGUUUAGUUUAUGAACCAUUUAAUUCCAUUUAAUAUGGUUCAACUAAUUUGUGGUUCAGUUUGGUUUAGUUUAGUGAU
rnacentral:lncRNA from 1 species